GUGUUUGCUUCAGCAGCACAUAUACUAAAAUUGGAAUGAUACAGAGAAGGUUAGCAUGGCCCCUGUGUAAUGACAUGCAAAUUCAUGAAGUGUUCCAUAUUUUU
rnacentral:snRNA from 1 species